CUUCCCAGAUGAGGACUGAGUCACCGAUCUCUGGGUACAACAGUAAGUCCUUGCGAAGGAUUCAGUACUUUGUUAUACUGGAUGCUCAUUGACAAGGCUAGGAUGGAUGGCCUGUCUCCUCCCCAGGACUGGACUUACAGAUCAAGAUGUGAGCUCUUGGCUACUGCUCCAGUGCCUGCCUACCUACUGCCAUGUUCCCCAUCAUGAUGGUUGUAGACACACUCUGAAAUUGUGAGCCCCAAAUAAAUUCUUUCUUCUAUAAGUUGCCUUGGUCAUGGCGUCUUUCUACAACAAUACAAAAGUAUCUAAGACAGGCCCACCAGGUCAUGGGCUGGUGGGGGCAGGUCCUCUGCCUGGCCUGUAGGCAGAGGGGUUCUACUUAGGACCCCUGUGGGGUUUCAGGAGAACAGAAACCUUCUGGCAGACAGGGCAUCUUCGUUCCCCCAAUAGCCUUCCUAGGGGCCUGCCUGAUUCCCACAGGUCCCUUAAUAAGCCCCUGCUCAAAACCAUGACUUUCUUUUUUUUUUUUUUUUUGGUUCUUUUUUUCGGAGCUGGGGGGCCGAACCCAGGGCCUUGCGCUUCCUAGGUAAGCGCUCUACCACUGAGCUAAAUCCCCAGCACAAAACCAUGACUUUCAAGUCCAAAAUUCUCCUUGGUCUCCAUGGUAACAGUUUGAGUUGACCUUUGCCACCUGCCCAUUUCGCAGGAGAAAACCCCAGACUCAAGGGGACUGCAGUUCGUUUGUGUCUUGGUGAGGCUGUGUUACUCACCAAGAAACUCCCUGGUGGGCUCCCGGACCUGUAGCCUUUCCUUCAUCAUGUGAAGGAGCAGCACCGGGACUUUCGGCUGGAGCUGCCAUAAUUUGUUUUGCUUCAGAAGCAAAAAUGUAAUUCCCCAGAGUUUGUGAAGCCUUCAGCCCAAUUGCAGCUUCUGAGGGAGAGAGGAAGGCACAGGGGAAGGCAUUUCACUCGAGGGUGGGAGAAACUCCAACAAAGCCCUAGGAUGAGCAGUGCCCCUCCAGCCGCUCCAAGAAUCAUCAGUGUCCACAGAGACCCCGACACUGGGCUGGAGGACACCAGGGACCGCUCGGCCAUGGUGUGGCCUCCAGUGUGCCCCUCCCUUGUGGAAGCACAGGUGUCCUUCCCCUUGCAGGGUGAGCUCCCUGGCCCACGGCCAGGAAACAGUUCCGAGAAGUGUGCCCAGCCUUGUCCUCAUUACCUCUUAACCUUCCUAGCACAUCAAAAACCCAAGCAAGUAAUGUGCAUAGAUUGGACCUGGCUUCAGAAUUCAGGACUGGGCCAUCGAUGUCAACUAGAACUUUGCUAGUCAAAGGAUGGCUGGGAUUGGCAUGUGCUAGGAGCAGUUAGAAAGUCAGGCUCAAGAGGGCUGGGGGAUGUAGCUCAGUGGGUAGAAUGUCUGUCUAGCAAGCACAAGGCUUUGAUCCCCUGCACUGCAUGGAACCAGACAUAAGUGUUGUACAGCUCUAAUCCCAACAUGCCACAGGUAGACACAAGAUGAAGAGUUCAAGGCCAACGUGGGCUACCAGAGACCCUGCCCCCCAAAUCAAAAUGAAAAGGCAGAAAAGCAAUCUCAGGGCCCAGCCUUGCCGAGUGGGAACCUCCACCCAACCGAGAGGUUGAGACUCUCCUAGUCUCUGUUCUGUCAGCAGCUCAGAGUGGGGCUCUCCACGUCUUCCCUCCCCACAGAGAGAACAGGGCAGUGGUGGCCGUGCCUUUGAGCUCUCAUCCAUCCCGGGCCUCGAACCCAUCUGCCAGCACCCUGUGCACCUCAGCAUACAUGGGGCUGGUGUUGGCUGAGUGACUGAGAGAAGAUGCUGUGUUUAUGGUCUUCCUUGAGCCCAGUCACCUUGUCACCUUCAGCCAGAGCCACCCCUGUCCUCUGGGUGGAGACAAGUUCCCUCUUCUGCCAUUGCUGCCCUUGCAGACAGGUCAGUGUCAUUAGUGAGACAAUGGAAGCAGAGGUCUCCUGCCUGAAGGUCCAGGGGACCUGGAUUUGUGGUCAGGCAGACAUGCUACCCUGGCCGACCAAAACCUGCCUGAUGCCCCAGGUCAUCAUCUCCUUGUCUGUGGAGAUUCAGGGAAUGACCCCUAGGAGUCAACCUGGCCUCCUUGUGUCUGUCACACCAAGUGAAGUAAGUGUCCUCUUCAUCCCCACAUGGCCUUGGCUUCUCUUCUGGACUGUACUCGCCUCAUUAUGGUCUCCCUGCCUUCUCUCCCUUCCCCCUACCUCCAUACCUUCCAGCACCUUCCUAAGUACAAACCUGGCUCCUUGGGCCCCUGCUAAUCACUACCCUCACCCC